rnacentral:tRNA from 1 species
ACCUGACUAACUCAGUCAGUAGAGCACGAGACUCUUAAUCUCAGGGUCGUGGGUUUGAGCCCCACGUUGGGUG